rnacentral:rRNA from 1 species
GCCUAUGACCGAAUCACCUGGAAUUUUGCCACUCUCUUCAGAUCUCAGAAGUUAAGUAGGUUUGAGCCUGGAUAGUGCUUGGAUGGGUAACCACCAUGCAUAAAACAGGCAUUGUAGUCU